rnacentral:rRNA from 1 species
UACGAAGGGGGCUAGCGCUGCUCGGAAUUACUGGGCGUAAAGCGUGCGUAGGCGGUUCUCCAAGUCCGUUGUGAAAGCCCCGGGCUCAACCUGGGAAUGGCAGUGGAAACUAGGGGACUGGAAUCUGGCAGAGGGGGGUGGAAUGCCGCGUGUAGCAGUGAAAUGCGUAGAGAUGCGGCGGAACACCGAUGGCGAAGGCAGCCCCCUGGGCUGAGAUUGACGCUCAGGCACGAAAGCGUGGGGAGCAAACAGG